UACAGAGGGUGCAAGCGUUGUUCGGAAUUAUUGGGCGUAAAGCGCGUGUAGGCGGCUUUGCAAGUCGGGUGUGAAAGCCCUCAGCUCAACUGAGGAAGUGCGCCCGAAACUGCAGAGCUUGAGUGCCGGAGAGGGUGGCGGAAUUCCCCAAGUAGAGGUGAAAUUCGUAGAUAUGGGGAGGAACACCGGUGGCGAAAGGCGGCCACCUGGACGGUAACUGACGCUGAGACGCGAAAGCGUGGGUAGCAAACAGG
rnacentral:rRNA from 1 species